rnacentral:lncRNA from 1 species
UUUUUUUUUUUUCUUUGGUGUGUGUGUGUGUGUACUUCGAGGCCUGUGUUGCCUCACCUAUUUAGCUUAGUUCAUAUUUUCAAUAAAUGAAGCGGGCAGCGUGUUAUCUUUUUCUCAAAAUAAAAAAAGAAAAAAUAAUUACUUUAUAUAAAAUUUAAAAUUUUCUUCUUCUUUCUUCUUCUUUUCUUAAACAAAAAAGGACCUAUAAACUUCUA